AGUUUAUUUAUCCAAAUCUCACGUAUACUUGUACCAUCUAGAACUUGCCCAUUAGUCUCUCAAGGCUAAUUUUGAUUGUAUUUGGUUGGUAAAAUGAUCCCAGGCUAUCUUUGUGACAUUGGAAACCCACUUUAGCCUAAGCAGCCUACCCUUGCAUAUAUGUUAUCUCUAGUAGCCCACUUUGAGCCUUUAGACCUUUCUUUGCCAAACAUAUUGCAAAUAAUGAGCCUUUCAAUUCUUAUCCUUCUUUUGACCCCUAU
rnacentral:lncRNA from 1 species